rnacentral:rRNA from 1 species
UACGUAGGUGGCAAGCGUUGUCCGGAAUUACUGGGUGUAAAGGGAGCGUAGACGGUUAAGUAAGUCUGGAGUGAAAGGCAGGGGCCCAACCCCUGGACUGCUCUGGAAACUGUGUAACUGGAGUGCAGGAGAGGCAGGCGGAAUUCCUGGUGUAGCGGUGAAAUGCGUAGAUAUCAGGAGGAACACCGGUGGCGAAAGCGGCUCUCUGGUCUGUAACUGACGCUGAGGUUCGAAAGCGUGGGUAGCAA